AUUGAACGCUGGCGGCAUGCUUUACACAUGCAAGUCGAACGGUAACAGGGUGCUUGCACCGCUGACGAGUGGCGAACGGGUGAGUAAUGCGUCGGAACGUGCCGAGUAGUGGGGGAUAACGCAGCGAAAGUUGUGCUAAUACCGCAUACGUACUGAGGUAGAAAGUGGGGGACCUUCGGGCCUCACGCUAUUCGAGCGGCCGACGUCUGAUUAGCUAGUAGGUGAGGUAAAGGCUCACCUAGGCGACGAUCAGUAGCGGGUCUGAGAGGAUGAUCCGCGACACUGGGACUGAGAAACGGCCCAGACUCCUACGGGAGGCAGCAGUGGGGAAUUUUGGACAAUGGGCGAAAGCUUGAUCCAGCCAUGCCGCGUGUCUGAAGAAGGCCUUCGGGUUGUAAAGGACUUCUGUCAGGGAGGAAAUCCCUAGUGCUAAUAACACUGGGGGAUGACAGUACCUGAAGAAUAAGCACCGGCUAACUACGUGCCAGCAGCCGCAGUAA
rnacentral:rRNA from 1 species